rnacentral:rRNA from 1 species
GACGUAGGGGGCGAGCGUUGUCCGGAUUCACUGGGCGUAAAGGGCGCGUAGGCGGUUACGCAAGUCGGAUGUGAAAAGUCACGGCUCAACUGUGAUCGUGCAUCCGAUACUGCGUUGACUUGAGGUCGGUAGAGGCAAGUGGAACUAGCGGUGUAGCGGUGAAAUGCGCAGAUAUCGCUAGGAACGCCGGUGGCGAAGGCGAUUUGCUGGGCCGUACCUGACGCUGAUGCGCGAAAGCUAGGGGAGCGAACCGG